AGCUUGGGUGUGUGACGCGCUGUCUUCCCGCCCGCGUCAGGGACCUGCCCGACUCAGCGGUGAGGGCCCUGGCGGCACCGGCUCUGAGGGGCCCGGGGCGGCGGGCGGCCUGUGACUCUCGGGCGAGGCGGAGCCGCAGCGGCACGCCCCUGGGACUUGGGGGCGGGCCCGGGUUGGAGUCCGCCCCGCCGGCGGCGAGGCGGGCAGCGGGACACCGGGGCCUCACUGUUCUCCGAGGGCGUCCUACACCGCGCGUCACCCCUUGCCCGAUGCCGACUUUAGUGGUGGGCUUUCUUUUUCUUUUUCUUUUUCUUUUUUUUUUUUUUGUAAAAUGGCCGCCGCAAUGCUUUGAAAAGCUGCGCCAGCGAAAUGGCGGGACUGCCGAGUGCCCGGAUGGAAUGGCGCAGGGUGCGCGCUUGACGCAUGCGCUGCUCCGGGGGCGGGGCGCGCCUACCUCCAAAGUCCGGUUAUCCGCAUAUGUGGAGUUGCAUAUGUGGAGCUGUGUCGCUUGCGACCAGUUGUCUCUACCUCGGUUUUCUCUUCCCUUGUGGUUCCACGUGGGGAAAAAAACACAUGUAGUUUAAAAUGUUGCCCUUUUGUGUCCAAAGUUUGUUGCCCCCAGGUAGACUAGUUCAGCAGUAGCAUAGUGGACUUCUUUUCCAAGUGUUUG
rnacentral:lncRNA from 1 species